rnacentral:rRNA from 1 species
AACGUAGGAGCCAAGCGUUAUCCGAAUUCACUGGGCGUAAAGCGCGUGCAGGCGGCCAGGCAAGUUGGACGUGAAAUCUCCCGGCUCAACUGGGAGAGGCUGGACAAAACUACCUGGCUCGAGGAUGGUAGAGGGAGGUGGAAUUCCCGGUGUAGUGGUGAAAUGCGUAGAUAUCGGGAGGAACACCAGUGGCGAAAGCGGCCUCCUGGACCAUAACUGACGCUCAGACGCGAAAGCUAGGGGAGCGAACGGG